rnacentral:piRNA from 1 species
AGUUGGUAUUUCGAGAUGAAGAU